rnacentral:rRNA from 1 species
GACGAACGCUGGCGGCGUGCUUAACACAUGCAAGUCGAGCGGAGCGGCGAACGGGUGAGUAACGCGUGAGUAACUGCCCCCCUCUCUGGGAUAAUAGUUGGAAACGGUUGCUAAUACCGGAUAUUGGGGGAUGACUCGCGUCCUAUCAGUUUGUUGGUGGGGGAGUGGCCUACCAAGGCGAGGACGGGUAGCCGGCCUGAGAGGUCGACCGGCCUCAUUGGGCUGUGAUACUGCCCAAACUCCUACGGGAGGCAGCAGUGGGUAAUAUUGCACGUUGGGGGAACCCCGGAUGCAUCAACGCCGCGUGCGGGAUGACGGCCUUCGGGUUGAAAACCGCUUUCAGCCAUGACGCGGUAGUGGCAGAAGAAGCACCGGCUAACUACGUGCCAGCAGCCGCGGUAAUAC